GUGGGGAAUAUUGCGCAAUGGGGGAAACCCUGACGCAGCGACGCCGUGUGAGGGAAGAAGGCUUUCGGGUCGUAAACCUCUGUCAGAAAGGAAGAACCUCCCAAGUCCGAAUAGGGCUUGGGACUGACGGUACUUUCAAAGGAAGCACCGGCUAACUCCGUGCCAGCAGCCGCGGUAAUACGGAGGGUGCAAGCGUUAAUCGGAAUCACUUGGCGUAAAGCGCGCGUAGGCCGCUUUGUAAGUCGGACGUGAAAGCCCUCGGCUCAACCGGGGAACUGCGUACGAUACUGCGAGGCUUGAGUCCUGGAGAGGGUGGCGGAAUUCCGGGUGUAGGAGUGAAAUCCGUAGAUAUCCGGAGGAACACCGGUGGCGAAGGCGGCCACCUGGACAGGUACUGACGCUGAGGCGCGAAAGCGUGGGGAGCAAACAGGAUUAGAAACCCGGGUAGUCC
rnacentral:rRNA from 1 species